GGUAAUAUUGAGUAUAUGAGUAUAUAAACGGGUACUAUUAAUCAUCUAUUCUAUCUCUUAAAUAAGAUUCAUCAUCUAUUCGAUCUCUUAAAGAAAAACACUAUGCAAUCUGAUAGACAAAGCCAUCUUCUAGACUAUCAUCUUUUCCAGCUCCUCCUCUGCGUAAGUGAAAUGAAUGAUUUGUUGUUUCAGCUCCACUCCAGUUCGCGCAACUAGUUUGUUUGGUCAUUCUACUUCUUAAGAGAAUUAUUCCGAUCCGUAUUAUGGUUAUGGUUCACUUGUUUCUGGUUCUCUACCGCUAAUAACCGAUAAAGAAGUUGACCUUAAGUGAGUUUAUAGAAGGGCGGGUUGGUACUCAAUUCCAUAUUUGGAUAGCUCUCUACGCAAGCGCAAGUAAGGGCCGACCCGUAUCGAGUGGUGGCAGCAAUAAAGAAGAAAGAAGGGUUGGUUUUCAUAGGGCGCUUGUUGAAGAUCCCCCAUCUCAUACAUACCAUACGAAGCACUACCCUAGGUCCAUUGAACCUUCUCUCGUAAAUUCGUUCAGUCCCCCCCGUCAUGAAAUGUUGACCGAACAGUAAGCCAUUUACCUGGAUCUCAUUUACCCGAUGCGAACCAACAACAACAAGACGGAAGCUUUUGCCUAAUGAAGAAAAGAAUGCUAGAUUCUAUGAAGAAACUAUGGAAUCUCAUCUAGCUGCGCCCGCCCUUGCUCUAACU
rnacentral:lncRNA from 1 species